rnacentral:lncRNA from 1 species
AGCAAACAUUAAUGUUUUACUGGCAUUUAAUUGGGGAUAUUAUGAGAUAUAGCGCAGAUACAUUGAAUGUAGAAAAAAAGUAUAAGGUGCAAGAAAAAAGCCAGGUAGCGUACACUAACGCCUUGAAAUAUGCAAAUAAACUGAAAAUGCCUUCAUCAAGCUCAGAAAAAUUAGAAGUUAUAAUUGGCUUAGCAGGUAGACAUAGACAUAUAUACAUAAUAUAUAUGUAUUUAUAUAUGUUCAUUAUGUACAUAUUUUUACAUACACGUAUGUAGAAACUUAUGGAACUCUUUUUAUAAAUACUAUUUUUUUUUUUUUUUUUUAUGGUUUUUAGUUUUAAACAAAGAUAUGGGUAAAGAUUUAAAUGUUUCUAUAGAGAUGGCAGCACAAGCCUUUAGGGAUGCAAUUCAAAACAUGCACCUUCUUGAGUAAUAAAUAACAUGAAAUUAUUUAUUUUAAAAGAAUCUUUUAGAAAUAAUAAUUACACUUUUUAUUUUUUUUAUUUACUGUAUAUAAAAGCAUUAAUUGUGUUUGCAUGCUUAUAUACAAAUAUAUGCAUUUUUGCACAUGUAGUAUAUAUAACUGUUUAUUAGUACCAAAAAGGUUUAUCACCGCUUACAAAAAACUAUCAUUACUGAUUCUUAUUUAUUGUGUUUUAUUUUUAUUUAGGAAUGAUGACGAAUGCUCUAAAACAAUCGCUGUAUUAGCAGUACUAAGAGAUUAUAUAAAUAAGUGGUGUGAAAGUAAGUUUCGUAAUUUAUAUUACAUUUGUAUAUNNNNNNNNNNUUUUUUUUUUUUUAAUUUAUAGCAAACAUUAAUGUUUUACUGGCAUUUAAUUGGGGAUAUUAUGAGAUAUAGCGCAGAUACAUUGAAUGUAGAAAAAAAGUAUAAGGUGCAAGAAAAAAGCCAGGUAGCGUACACUAACGCCUUGAAAUAUGCAAAUAAACUGAAAAUGCCUUCAUCAAGCUCAGAAAAAUUAGAAGUUAUAAUUGGCUUAGCAGUUUUAAACAAAGAUAUGGGUAAAGAUUUAAAUGUUUCUAUAGAGAUGGCAGCACAAGCCUUUAGGGAUGCAAUUCAAAACAUGCACCUUCUUGAGUAAUAAAUAACAUGAAAUUAUUUAUUUUAAAAGAAUCUUUUAGAAAUAAUAAUUACACUUUUUAUUUUUUUUAUUUACUGUAUAUAAAAGCAUUAAUUGUGUU